UAGAAGGUAGUAUAGUGGGAGUACAGAGGUUUUUGAAGCCUUAGGUGCCGGUUCAAUUCUGGUCCUUCUAU
rnacentral:tRNA from 1 species